rnacentral:rRNA from 1 species
GACGUAGGGCGCGAGCGUUGUCCGGAUUUAUUGGGCGUAAAGAGCUCGUAGGCGGCUUGUCGCGUCGUCUGUGAAAUCCCGCGGCUCAACCGCGGGUCUGCAGUCGAUACGGGCAGGCUAGAGUUCGGUAGGGGAGACUGGAAUUCCUGGUGUAGCGGUGAAAUGCGCAGAUAUCAGGAGGAACACCGGUGGCGAAGGCGGCAUCCUGGACCGAGAUUGACGCUGAUGCGCGAAAGCCAGGGGAGCAAACGGG